rnacentral:rRNA from 1 species
CAUGUAGGCGGAUUGAUAAGUUUGAAGUGAAAUCCUAUAGCUUAACUAUAGAACUGCUUUGAAAACUGUUAAUCUAGAAUGUGGGAGAGGUAGAUGGAAUUUCUGGUGUAGGGGUAAAAUCCGUAGAGAUCAGAAGGAAUACCGAUUGCGAAGGCGAUCUACUGGAACAUUAUUGACACUGAGGCACGAAAGCGUGGGGAGCGAACC